rnacentral:tRNA from 1 species
GAAAGCGUAGCUCAGUCGGUAGAGCAACAGACUUUUAAUCUGUGGGUCGUGGGUUCGAUCCCCACCGCUUUCA